rnacentral:rRNA from 3 species
GAAUUUUAUAUAAAAGUUUUAAUUAAUUUUAUUAAAUAAUUUUUUUUGGGGUUUUAUAUUUAGUUGGGAGGAUUAUUAAAUUAUAUAAACUUUAAUAAAAAUUGAAAACAUUAAUUUAUGAUGAUUUUUUUUGGAUUAAGAUUUUUACGAAUUUUAUAGAAGAAUUAAUUACCUUAGGGAUAACAGCGUGAUAUUUUUAGAAAGAUCUUAUUGAUAAAAAUGAUUGC